rnacentral:tRNA from 1 species
GGCCAGUUAGCUCAGUCUGUUAGAGCGUGAUGCUGAUAAUACCAAGGUCACGGGUUUGAUCUCCGUUCAGUCCC